AUGGACAUGAGCCUCGAGCACUCGAGCUCUCCCUCCUCCUCGUCCACGACCACGACCGAGCACGGGGGGACGGCGUGGCCGUGGCCGCCGAAGCGCCCCGCGGGCCGCACCAAGUUCCGGGAGACGCGGCACCCCGUGUUCCGCGGCGUGCGGCGCCGUGGCAGCGCCGGCCGGUGGGUCUGCGAGGUGCGCGUCCCCGGGGAGCGCGGCACGCGCCUCUGGCUCGGGUCGUACUUCACCGCCGAGGCGGCCGCGCGCGCGCACGAUGCCGCAAUGCUCAUGCUGCGCGGCCGUUCCGCCGCGUGCCUCAACUUCCGGGACUCCGCGUGGCUGCUUUCGGUGCCGCCCGCCUUCUCCAACCUCUCUGAUGUCCGGCGCGCGGCCGUCCAGGCCGUCGCGGACUUCCUGCGCCGUCCGGAGGCCACCGGUGCCGCUGCGGCGGUCGAGGAAGUCGCCUCCAGCGUGGACAUCCCGUCGGCGGCGGCGUGCAGUGUCCCCUCGUCCGAGACGGCGCAGACCUCCGGUGAUGCCAAUUUUGAAGAGCCAGGCGCAUUAAGCAUGGAUAUGUUCGACCUCGACUGCCUGUUUGGGGAGACGGACUCGGACACGUACUACUACGCGAACCUUGCGCAGGGCCUGCUCAUGGAGCCACCGCCUACCAUGGCCACCGGGCAGUACUGGGACAAUGGGGACUGCGCCGACGGCGGAGCCGGAGCUGAUGUCGCGCUCUGGAGUUACUAG
rnacentral:rRNA from 1 species